CCUACGGGAGGCAGCAGUGGGGAAUAUUGGACAAUGGGCGAAAGCCUGAUCCAGCCAUGCCGCGUGUGUGAUGAAGGCCUUAGGGUUGUAAAGCACUUUUGUCCGGGAAGAUAAUGACUGUACCGGAAGAAUAAGCCCCGGCUAACUUCGUGCCAGCAGCCGCGGUAAUACGAAGGGGGCUAGCGUUGCUCGGAAUCACUGGGCGUAAAGGGCGCGUAGGCGGACUUUUAAGUCGGGGGUGAAAGCCCAGGGCUCAACCCUGGAAUUGCCUUCGAUACUGAGAGUCUUGAGUUCGGAAGAGGUUGGUGGAACUGCGAGUGUAGAGGUGAAAUUCGUAGAUAUUCGCAAGAACACCAGUGGCGAAGGCGGCCAACUGGUCCGAUACUGACGCUGAGGCGCGAAAGCGUGGGGAGCAAACAGGAUUAGGAUACCCUGGUAGUCCACGCCGUAAACGAUGAACUGCCAGCCGUUGGGUGCNNGCACUCAGUGCGCAGCUACGUACGUUACGUACACUCCGUCCGUCGGUAGGUACGGUCGCGAGAGUAAACGUACGAAGAGUAGUAAGUAGUGUUGAGUAGUUCGACGACGACGACGACGGAGGAGGAG
rnacentral:rRNA from 1 species